AAUUAAUAGCCAAAUAAUGGCACAUUGGAAGAAGGAAAGAGACUAUAAAAGAGAGGUGAAGACUCCAAGAAAAGGGGGCUAGAGAUUCUAUAUUUUCACCACAAAUCUUAAUAUUAAAGGGAGAUUUGCAAAACUGCCCUUAUUCUAAUAACCUUUUGUAAAAGUGCCCUUUCCUGAAGGCCAUUUUAAAAACUACCCCUUCUAAUAUGUCAAAUGACUGUCUUACCCUCUGGAUGAUUAGGUUUCACGUUCGUUUCACAAACUUCUUCGUUUUGGCACAAACUUCUUCGUUUUCCUCUCCGAUUUUCCUCUCCGAUUUCACUCAAAAUCGCCGGCGAAUUUCCUCUCCGAUUUCACUCAAAAUCGCCGACGAAUUUUCUUUCUGAGAAACCCCAAAAUCGCCGACGAAUUUCCUCUCCGAUAAACCUGUUCUUCGCUGAAGGAUUCAGAUCAUUUCUCUACGACGCAAACAAUCCCCAGAGAUAUCGAUAGAUCCGACGGUAAUCGUUUUUAUAAUCGAUUUUAUAGUCGAUUUUAUAGUCAAUUUUAUAGUAGAUCUGACGCUAUUUCAUAACAUGUUUUGCAGAUGGAUUCAGAGAGUGAAAUCCUUACAUUGCCUGAACAAAUCUACAGAGAAGGUGAGGAAUCUAUUGCACUGGGAACCGUUCAACAAUACUCGGAUUGGAAUUUAGUUAGUAAAGUAGAGGAAGAUUUAGGCGAGUGUUUAUUUCAGAAGAUUAGAAGUUCGUUUCUUGGUCCUCUAGUUGAAUUGGGACCAAAAAUGAAGGCUAAGAAGGGAAUCAGAUUUUCUGGAAAAAUCUUUCACUAUCUCAUG
rnacentral:sRNA from 1 species